rnacentral:rRNA from 1 species
ACCAGACUCCUACGGGAGGCAGCAGUGAGGAAUAUUGGUCAAUGGGCGCGAGCCUGAACCAGCCAAGUCGCGUGAGGGAUGACGGCCCUACGGGUUGUAAACCUCUUUUGUCGGGGAGCAAAUUCCGUUACGUGUAACGGAGUCGAGAGUACCCGAAGAAAAAGCAUCGGCUAACUCCGUGCCAGCAGCCGCGGUAAUACGUAGGUGGCAAGCGUUAUCCGGAUUUACUGGGUGUAAAGGGCGUGUAGGCGGGAAAGCAAGUCAGAUGUGAAAACCAUGGGCUCAACCUGUGGCCUGCAUUUGAAACUGUUUUUCUUGAGUACUGGAGAGGCAGACGGAAUUCCUAGUGUAGCGGUGAAAUGCGUAGAUAUUAGGAGGAACACCAGUGGCGAAGGCGGUCUGCUGGACAGCAACUGACGCUGAGGCGCGAAAGCGUGGGGAGCAAACAGGAUUAGAUACCCGCGUA